UAUAUACAGUCGUGGCCAUAAAUAGCUAAGUUCCAGAAUAAGCCCUUUCCCCUCUACGAUAAGCUUGGUGAUCUGUAUGACGGACAUAUAGCAGAAGGUAACUUCAAUUUCACAUCAACUCAGGUUACACAAGUGAGUGAUGGUGAUCCCGAAGUUGAAAGAGAGCAGACUUCCUUCUCUUUUGACCUGGAUCAAUAUGGUGAUGAUUUACACAUGUAAGAUGAUCCAAGAGAUGCCGCCUGAUGUGACGGUUCAAGAGAUGCUGCCCCAAGUGAUGGUCCAAGAGAUGCUGCCCCAAGUGAUGGUCCAAGAGAUGGUGCUCCCGGUGGUUCAAAUAAGAAGCCAGUGAAGGAGCCCAAGAAUAAGAAGCGUGAUGAUCCGAUGGUGGAGGUGAAGGCACAAUAUGUGGAGAUCAAAUGGAAGCAAGCGGAGGAGGAGUCUGUUUUGUUGGCAGGGUCAAAAAAUGCCCAAGAGUUCUCCAUCAGCAAGUGCAUUGCUGAUGAAGAUAGUGCUGGUGUGUUUCUUCGGAGCGAAAUGGCAGUGUUGCAUCAACGUAUCUAA
rnacentral:rRNA from 1 species